AAAUAGAUACCCGGGUAGUCCACGCCGUAAACGAUGAGUGCUAAGUGGUUAGGGGGUUUCCGCCCCUUAGUGCUGCAGCUAACGCAUUAAGCACUCCGCCUGGGGAGUACGGCCGCAAGGCUGAAACUCAAAGGAAUUGACGGGGGCCCGCACAAGCGGUGGAGCAUGUGGUUUAAUUCGAAGCAACGCGAAGAACCUUACCAGGUCUUGACAUCCUCUGACAAUCCUAGAGAUAGGACGUUCCCCUUCGGGGGACAGAGUGACAGGUGGUGCAUGGUUGUCGUCAGCUCGUGUCGUGAGAUGUUGGGUUAAGUCCCGCAACGAGCGCAACCCUUGAUCUUAGUUGCCAGCAUUCGGUUGGGCACUCUAAGGUGACUGCCGGUGACAAACCGGAGGAAGGUGGGGAUGACGUCAAAUCAUCAUGCCCCUUAUGACCUGGGCUACACACGUGCUACAAUGGAUGGUACAAAGGGCUGCAAGACCGCGAGGUUUAGCCAAUCCCAUAAAACCAUUCUCAGUUCGGAUUGCAGGCUGCUAACCG
rnacentral:rRNA from 1 species